UGCCACCUCCUUUUUGCAUGCUAAAAGGUUCGGGACUUUUUCCAAGUUGUAUACAAAUUUCACAAUGCACAUUAAUUCGUGUUGGAUCAUCCGUCGGGUGUCUCGAAAAAUAAUUCCAUACAUGUGACUUUAAAUUCUUUUUACGAGCCGCGCCACUGCCACUAGCACCGCUCCCGCUAGCACCCCCACUGCCACCUAAAUUACAAAAAAUGAACAUUAAUUAGAAACUUAAUAAAAUUAAAUAUAAAACUAACGAUUAUUACAAUUUUAAUAUAAUGAAAAAAUGAAAUCAAAUUAAAGUAACAGUUUUCAAAUUUCAAAAAGUAACAGUUUAUAAAUUUCAAAAACUAACAGUUUAUUCAAAAUCGUGUAAAAACUAAUAUAUAAUUAAAAUGAAAUCAAAUUAAAGUAUAAUUUAAAUUUGAAAACUAAAAUAAAUUAAAACAAAAUCGAAUUAAAAUGAAAAAAAUCGAACAUACCUUCGCCGCCGUCAUUGCCGGUUGCCUGACCGGGUGCGAGUGGAGGUCGUCGGGGCGGCGCCAUGAUCGGACUUUGAGUGGAAUCUUGAGAGGAUAUUGUACCUCGACCUUCCAUAAUUAACAACAGAAAAUAUUAACUGAAAAUAUUAAAACCACGCCGGAAAAGCUUGAAUUGAGGCCGGAAAAACUUGAGCAGCUUGCUUGAAUUCAGACUUGAAGUAAG
rnacentral:lncRNA from 1 species